rnacentral:piRNA from 1 species
UCCAUGUUCCUGAUGAUUCUGAAUUCCC